rnacentral:rRNA from 1 species
CUGAGAGGGUGAACGGCCACAUUGGGACUGAGACACGGCCCAACUCCUACGGGGGGCAGCAGUGGGGGAUAUUGCACAAUCGGGGAAACCCUGAUGCAGCGACGCCGCGUGAGAGGAAGAAGUAUUUCGGUAUGUAAAAUUCUAUCAGCAGGGAAGAUAAUGACGGUACCUGACUAAGAAGCCCCGGCUAACUACGUGCCAGCAGC